rnacentral:lncRNA from 10 species
UACAAGGCUGUAGUCACCAAAAGAGCAUGGUACUGGUACAAAAAGUAGACACAUAGGCCAGUGGAACAGAAUCGAGAACCCAGAAAUAAAGCCAAAUACUUUACAACCAACUGAUCUUUGACAAAGCACACAAAAUCAUAAAUUGGGGAAAGGACACUCUGUUUAAUAAAUAGCACUGGUGAUUCUAAUGCCCCUUCCAAAGAUGAAAAAGUUUGGGUAUUAAUGGAAAGAAAGAGAAAUAGUAGCUAAGAGUAAAGAAAUAAAUAAGUGGGUUAUUAAUUGAGGAAAAUUCAAUAUUACAUUAACGACCCAAGAGUCUCAGAGCAAAAGAUGACAUUGUCUCUUAGCUCAUUAUUCCAGAUACCUGUAAGGGUGAAGCUGUAUAUUUACCAAGGCCACUCCUGCUUUUGGAACCUGAAAAGAUUGUGAGGAAACCUACAAAUGUGAGUGGCCUCAUCCUGGGAGACAUUCAUACAAUAUGAUAGACUGAACUAGUUAUUAAUGAUUGUGUAUACAGAGAUAGAUAGAUAGAUAGAUAGAUAGAUAGAUAGAUAAUAGAUAGAUAGAUAGAUGUAAAGGAUCCGUGGUUAAAAAUCAGGAGUGGCCUGUGGUGUUAUGAUAUAUAUUGAUUUUCAUCCACAGUUCUGGCUCAUAACUCCCAUAACCCUUGUUGCAGUCUUUUGUUAUAAUGCUGGGUGUGUUAGGCCUCUGACCUUCUCCCGCCCUCCUUUCACCUGCCCCAAGGUAGGACUCUAAUGUUCUCCACCUUUCUGAUUGUGGAUGUUUAGACUCUCCCAUGAGAGGGUCGCACACUAUCCCCUGGGGCAAAGGAAUACUGAUGUAAUGAAGCUUCCAUAAAAACUCAAGAGGACUCAAGAGGGUUCAGUGAGCUUCUGGAGAGCGAACAUAAGGAAGUUCCUGGAGCAGGGCCCACCCAAGGAGAGCAUGGAAGCUCCAAAUCCCUUCCCCUAUACUUCAUCCUAUGCUUCUCUUCAUCUGUAUCCUUUGCAAUAUCUUUUAUAAUAAAAUGGUAAAUUAAAUAAAUUAAUAAAUGGUGCUGGGAAAACGGGCCAGCCACAUGUAGAAGAUGAAACUGGAUGCCUAUCUCUCACCUUACCCAAAAAUCAACUCAAGAUGGAGCAAAGAACUAUUUAAAUCAAAGACCUGAAACCACAAAAAUUCCAGAAGAUAACCUAGGAAAAACUCUUCUGGGCAUUGGCCUAGGCAAAAAAUUAAUGACUAGGACCCUAAAAGCAAAUGCAACUAAAACAAAACUAAAUAAAUGGCACCUAAUUAAACUAAAAAGCCUCUGUACAGCAAAAGGAAUAAUCAGAGUAAACAGACAACCCACAGAAUGGGAGAAAAUAUUUGCAAACUAUGCACUCGACAAAGGACUAAUACCAAGAAUCUACUAGGAACUCAAACAAAUCAGCAAGAAAAAAAUGAAUAAUCCCAUCGAAAAGUGGGCAAAUGACAUGAAUAGGCGUUUCUCAAAGGAAGAUCAGGGAAAUGCAAAUUAAAACCACAGAGAGAUACCACCUUACUCCUGCAAGAAUGGCCAUUACUAAAAUGAAAAAAAAAAACAAUAGACGUUGGUAUGGGUGUGGUAAAAAGGGAACACUCACAUACUGCUGGUGAGAAUGUAAAUUAGUAAAACCUGUAUGCAAAACAGUAUGAAGAUUCCUUAAAUAACUAAAAGUAGAACUACCAUUCAAUCUAGCAAUCCCACUACUGGGUAUCUAUGCAAAGGAAAAGAAGUCAUUAUGUCAAAAAGACACUUGCAUGUGUAUGUUUAUUGCAGCCAACUCACAGUCGCAAAGAAAUCAAUCAGUGUAAGUGACCAUCGAACAAUGAUAAAGAAAAUGUGAUAUACAUACACACCAUGGAAAACUACUCAGCUAUAAAAAAGCACAAAAUAAUGUCUUUUGCAGCAACUUGGAUAGAGCUGGGGACCAUUAUUUUUUCUUCUUUCCUGGCCCACUGGCUACAAAGGAGAGGAGGCCAUUAUUUUCAGUGAAGUAACUCAAGAAUGGAAAACCAAAUACCAUACGCUCUCACUUAUAAGUGGGAACUAAGCUAUGAGUAUGUGAAGACAUACAGAGUGAGAUAAUGGACUUUGGAGACUCAGAAGAGAGAGGGUGGGGCACAGUGAGGGAUAAAUAAACUACACAUUGGGUACAAUGUUCACUACUCAGGCGAAGGGUGCACUAAAAUCUCAGACUUCACCGCUAUGUAAUUCAUCUGUGUAACAAAAAACCACUUACACCCCAAAAGCUAUUGAAAUUUUAAAAACUAUAUUAAUUUUUAAAAAUUACAAACCCACAGAAUUAUGGGCUAAAUGGAUUGUUUCUUUUAAGUCACUCUGUUUUAGAAUGGUUUGUUACACAGCCAAAACUAACUUAUAAAACCGGUUAUUAAAUUGUUGCAGGGGCCAGGCACAGGGGCUCGAACCUGUUCCAGCACUUUGGGAGGUCAAGGCGGGAGGAUGGCUUGAGCCCAGGAGUUUGAGACCAGCCUGGACAACAUGGUGAGACCCUGUCUCUAUAAAAUAGAUAAAUAGAUGAAAAUGAAUUGUGGCAGGAAGAUCGCUUGAGGCAGGAGUUUGAGACCAGCUUGAGCAACCUAGCAAGACUCCCACCUCUACAAAAAAAGAAUUUUAAUUAAGAAAAUAGUUACAUUUCUUCCAUAUCAGUUAGUAAAUAUUCCCUACCCAACCUCCCAACCACCAACAAUCUACCCUACAAUCCAGCAACAAAUGAAUUAAUGUCAGGUCCUACAGAGACCUCCAGGACAUACUCUGUUUCUAUAGCCUAGAGUGUUCUGAUUGAUCAAUAUGAAUAUCAGUUGUUAAAUAUUUUUGAAAUUACCACUGGUCAAAGGAGCAUGACUAAGCCAAUUAUGAUAUCUCAAAAUAUAUAGUUACUAAAAAUAACUAUAUGAACUGUAUGUUUAUAAAAUCAUGCUAUAAAAUAAUAUUAAAUGGAAAAGAACAGAUUACAAUCAACUGAUAUGCAUUCAUUAUAAUAACACUAAAUGCCUAUGUGCACAUUGACAAAGAUGAGAAUUGAAAUUGUAGUACCAAAAGCUUGGUGGGGUUUUUUUCUCUGUACUGAUUUUAUUUUAGUGCACAAGAGAAAACAACUAUAAUUUUUCCAAGUAGAAUGUAUUUAGAAACUUUUCUUCCUGGAAUUGGGAAUCUCAGAGCAAAGCCCUAAUCUUGAAUAUAAUGCAUUAAGAAAAAGUGUUUAGCUUCCUAUAGGCAAUAUGUCCUAAAUGCCCAUUUAAAUUUCUAUUUUUAAAGGCUAAAAAUUUGCAACAUGAAAACAAAAUCAAUGUGCUCUAGAAUCAAUCAUACUCAUUUAGGCUAAUAUUUAUUCAUCUGUAAAUAACUUUGCUUAAUAAACUCCUAUUCCCCAACCCAACAUGGAAAGAAACCCUGUUUUUGCCAAGUCAGCUCCCAGAUUUUUGUGAUGCAAAAGUUAUAAGAUGAGUAUGGCAGACAUUGCUAGCUUCUUACACAAUAUCCAUUCUUCCCUUAUCUAUUCAGGGCCUUAUUUCCAAGGCUCCCUUGUAGCUAGCAAUGGCCAUGUGACCGUCUCUGGCCAAUGAGUGUAGGGAGAAUUCUACCGGCUGGGGCUUCCAGAAAAUCAAUUGUUUUUCUGAUGUAAAGAGACCAUUCAGCAGGCACAUAUCUUUUGCUUUUGGCCAUUCCCCCUCUUCUAACCUGGAAUGUAAGCAUGACGCCCAAAGGUGCAGCAGCCAUCUGUGAGAUGAAGCAAACCAUCCACCCUAACUGGCAGAGCAGAAAACCAGGAAGAGCUUCUGGCACAGCUGUGGAGCAUCUGCCUAUGGACUUCUUGUCUGGGGAGAGAUUAUAAAUCUCUUACUUAUUUUAGCCACUGUAAUGAGGUUUCUGUAACAUACUGCCAGACACAACACUGGCAGAUAAAAGAGGGGAGAUGAGUCCUGAGAGACAGGAAGAAGGUAGGGAGGAUAUGCGCAGAGAGGCCAGGUCAAUCUCUUUAAUAAAGAACUAGAUGAGGAAGGAAGAAGCAAGAGAAAAAUCAGCUCUGGAUUGUGGUUACAGGAGCAGCUUGGGUGCUGGCACAAGAGACCAUCCGGAGGAGCUGAGGAGUAGAGGCAAGGGUCCUUGAAAAGUGGAACUGUGGCUGGUGACUCUUAUCCCCUCGAAGUUCAACAGAGUCAUGCAGCAAAUGGAAUUCCUUCUCAAGUACUUCUGGCUGCUGAAUUUUGUUUUGUUUUUGUAUAUGGAGAACUCUGCAGAGACUGAGCCAUGUGGAGGCCCAGGGUUCACUAGGGUUAUAGAAGAACUAAUCUGGGAAAGUUAUAGAUGACAAGGACAAGUGUUGCUGUAGUGAAAAGGGCAGAAACAAGGAAGCAAGGGAUGUGAGUUCAAGUCCUCAUUCUUUCACAAUCUGCUGUGAAGCAUUAAGCAAGCACUUUGUCGCAUCUUGCUUCAGGUGCCCUUUUGUAAAAGCAGAGAGGCAGACCAAAUGUACCCUAAGAACCCUGUCAGCUCUGUGACUAUAGUAUUCCAAAAGCUACUGUAAGGGCAGGACAUCUGGACUCCUAGAAGGAUAUCCCUUCCUCAUGUAGCUUUUCUUCUUGUCUUUGAUGGCACUAUAUUGGGUGCAUGAGGGUGGGGUUUGCAAGGAAAAAGAGGUCCAAUUCAUUAACCGAUAUUCCAAUUCAAUAAACAUCUGCUGAUCACCCGCUCUGAGUUGAGCACUCAGAUUAAUAUGGCCAGAGGAUUCCAUCUAAGCUCCUUAGCAAGCCCCAGAGGCCCCCACCAUAGGGCCCUGUCUGACUCCUUGGGCUUACACCCCCUGGUUCUCACCCACGUCCUUACUUCUGGUGUCCCUCAGCCUACUGGGAUACUCGGUACCUCCCCAGGCCUACUCCAGAUAUGCCUUCUUGCCUCAUAUGCCCAUCCCUUUUUGACCUUCCGAUCUGGGAAACUCCUACUCAUCCUUCAGUGCCCAGAGGUGGAGGGGUGAUGGGGAAGCAGCCUUGAGAGUUUUCAGCUGGUAGCUGGCCUCAUCUCUACCUGCUAGACUGUGUUGUCCCCUGAUGAACACAAAAUCUUUCAGAGAAUAUCAGUAGCAGUUGAGAACUUCAGAAAGACUUCAGAAAGAACUUCAGGAGCAGAUGGCUGCUCCAUGAUCAGACCUGAACAGAGCUCACAUCUCAUGUGGAACCACAGGAGGAGGAUAUUAGAAAGUUGCUCUUCAUCAGCACUUCAUGCGGCUUCUCAUUUCUGCCUCGUGUGCUGUUCUUAAAUUUGCAAAGUUGUCAUCACUGUUGAUUAUCCAGUGUGGCCACCUCCGUGACUUCAACAUCCCCUGACAGUGCUAGGCCCGUUUAUUGAAAGCAGAGGACUGCAACUGCAGGCAAAUAACAGGAACACGAGCUAAUGAGUUGGUAACACCAAGAUCCUUCACGAGAGGGAAGAAAGGAAGAGUCCUAGGGUUUAAAUCACCUCCAUAAAACAUCCACAAACAGGACUCUGUGAGGCUGUCAGGAGCCUAUGGUUUCUGUUUAACAUGCACAAUUAGCAUUUUUAGGAAGCAGCCUUUUGGGGAUAAGUAUGUCCUGAAGUGUACCCUUUUAUUCCUUUUUCAGUUAAAACACAUCUGCUUAAAGGCAACCUGCACUUGCCCUGGCCCAUGCACCAACAGUGCACCAUCCCUGGCUCCCCUCCCAUCCCAUCUUCAAAGGUGCUAUGGAAGAAACUGCAGCUGCUUUCACUAAGGAAAAUGUGAUUUUUCUCAGUUUUACCAAAUGUGAAGCAAAUAUUUUUUAAGUGGUCAAAAAUAACAGAAGUUUUUUUGUUUUGUUUUGUUUUUUCUCUCCAAAAUGGCUCCCUUGGAUGACAAGGGUUGUACAGACCCCAUUCACUGAAGCUUCAAAUGAAAACUUUACGUCCACUCCCGUGUCCUCACUCUGCAGCCCCCACUCCUGGUACCUCGCUCACGUCAGUAAAGAAUUAGGGUCAUGGACAAAUACACAGGAACAAGGCGCCCAGUGGGCUCUCUGAAAAAAGAAAAGAAACAGCUCUCUUUUUUCAUAGUUGAGGGGAGGUUUAAAUAUAACAAAAUGACCUUUUUUUCCAACAAAAAUUAAUUCUACCAGCCACAGGAAGGGUUGUAAACGAGAUGUCACUUCUCAAUGGUUUAAGAAACAUGUAACCUGGAGAAUCACCUCA